UACGUAGGGGGGCUAGCGUUGUCCGGAAUCAUUGGGCGUAAAGCGCGCGUAGGCGGUCAGGAAAGUCCGGUGUGAAAGUCAUAGGCUCAACCUAUGGAUGCCGCUGGAAACUGCCUGACUUGAGUCCGGAAGGGGCGAGUGGAAUUCCUGGUGUAGGCGGUGAAAUGCGCAGAUAUCAGGAAGAACACCCCGUGGCGAAGGCGGUUCUCUGGGACGGUACUGACGCUGAGACGCGAAAGCGUGGGGAGCGAACAGG
rnacentral:rRNA from 1 species